rnacentral:rRNA from 1 species
GACGAACGCUGGCGGCGUGCUUAACACAUGCAAGUCGAACGGAAAGGCCCUGCUUGCAGGGUGCUCGAGUGGCGAACGGGUGAGUAACACGUGGGUGAUCUGCCCCUUAUUUUGGGAUAAGCCUGGGAAACUGGGUCUAAUACUGGAUAGGACCAUGCUGUAGGUGGUGUGGUGGAAAGAUUAGCUUCGGUAAGGGAUGAGCUCGCGGCCUAUCAGCUUGUUGGUGGGGUAAUGGCCUACCAAGGCGUCGACGGGUAGCCGGCCUGAGAGGGUGGACGGCCACGUUGGGACUGAGAUACGGCCCAGACUCGUACGGGAGGCAGCAGUGGGGAAUAUUGCACAAUGGGCGCAAGCCUGAUGCAGCGACGCCGCGUGGGGGAUGACGGCCUUCGGGUUGUAAACUCCUUUCAGCCAUGACGAAGCCCUUGUGGUGACGGUAGUGGUAGAAGAAGCACCGGCUAACUACGUG